UCUGGCUUAUCUAUCAUAUCUUCCAACCAGUUUCCCAGUGGGAUGAGGGUGGCGAGAGUCCCGGCGUCAGAGGCCAAGGUCUCAGUCCUGUUAUCUUGGGCAAAUCGUACACUUUUCAUACAGUCAUGAAAAUUUCUGCUCAUUCUCUGAGCACUUCAUAUCCUGUAAAAUUGUGCUUCAGGUUUUUCAGCCCAGAGUAGAUACUUUCCUUUUUCUUUUACAUUCUUCGGUACUCUAAAAAAAAAUUUAAUUUCAUCCAUUUUUAUAAAGUUGAAUAAGACAAUAAGAGUUUUCAAUCUGCUCAGUUAGAAUGGCAAUUACUGUCUCUUUCAAUUUUAUAAAAUAAAUUGAUGUGAAAAUGAUCAUUACAUUUUUUCUUCUCUAGUCAGAAGAAUCUAAAUGACUUGGUUCCUCUUUACUAGUCUUGAUCCAGAAACAAAGUAGCUAAUAAAUAAUAUAUGCAAAUAUUUUGGUAUAAUUAACAACUAUGAUUGGCCCCAAUGUUAGGGUAAAAGUCACAUAAAGCAAAGUUUGAACUAAGAAUAGAUUUUAGAACAAUAAUAAUAUAACCAUGAUAAUAGAAUUACAUUGAAUUAAAAACAGUCACUUCCCCUUAGUGUGGUGUCACCUAUUUGCAAAUAUAGGUUGUAUCUUGCUUUUGUUAACUGGGUCAAAAACAUGUUUUUGUAUUGCUGGGUGUGUGGCCAUCCUAGUUGGCUGGGUCCUUGCCCUUUGGGAGGACUGGAUGACCCAGUCGGGACCUAGUCUUGGCGGCUAGGAUUGGCCAAUGUAGGAGGUGGGUCAAGGGUUCAGACCGGGCAGGAAUCCUGUUUAGUGUGCCAAAGUGGGGCAGUGAGGCAAAUGCAAGCCAGAGUACACAGAGGGAGUCAGAGAGCACUAAGCCAAAAGGUGAGAGCAACGCGGUAAUUGGAAGAUGGAACGUGUAGUGAGGCACUACAGUGAAGAGAGCCUGAAGUGUGAGCCAACUCCCCAGUCAGGAGCAGCCCAGACAAGCGUCCCAAGUCCAGGGGGAGAUUGUCAUUUACUGGACUGUGUUUUGGUGGGAGCAUGCCUCAUUGGUGAGAUCCGGUGCCAAGACUUAACUGACUGAGAUACCCCAUCUGUAGAAGCGGCAUUUGCCCGACUGGGGCACGGAGGAUCUUUACUAUAAAGCCACCCUGGCUGAUACUUACACCAUUUUUUUCUCAAUGCCCAGGUUGCAGACCACCUUAGAGGCCUCCUGUGUAGCAAUUACUCUGGGCUACCAGCCACUCAGCAUUUCCUACUUCGUUUCUUCUGCCUCUGGUCUCUCCCCCAGAGAGGGUUUGAUAUUCAGGUGUUUUUCUUUCCUGUCCCAGUCCCCUUAAGUUUCUGGGUCGUUGGGGUGGGCUACCUCGUUUUGUGGUUCACUGCGUGAUGUAGAAGCUCGGGCUCCAGCCCCAGCCUUGGCCUCAAGCUGUGUGCGUGUCAGCUGCCUGUGGUCAAUGAACCCGAGCAGAAUGUCCCCAUGCGUGGUGAAGGCCCCAGCAUCCACUGGAUGUUAGCUGUGCCCAUUUGAUAGGAAGCAAGAUCAAGUUCUUGACAGAAAUAUGUGUACUAGUACUUGGUACCACUUUACAGGAUCGUCAGAGUCCUACUCCAAUAUUUGGAUCCCAAAUGACAGAUUUAAUGGCCUUCGUUAACACUCCGAUGAUGUAGGCUUAAUUUUACGGUUCACCUGUUCUUGCUGUUUACUUUCCUGAGCUUCAGCCAAGCCGAAGAAACUGUGUGAAAACAGAAUCUCGUUGCCCAUGAAAGAAAACGCCACCUUCCUUAGUAGAAAGGAAA